GAUUUCUCUGUGUUUCGGGCUCUUCCAUCUCCAGAAAACAGAAACAGCCAGAGAACAGAGAAGUACAGAAGUGAGGUUGUAAAUGAGCUGUGUGCUUUAAGAAGACGUCUGCGCAGUGAACAGCAGCAUCUGGAGGAGCAGCUCUUGCAGACAGAGUGGGAGCAUCUCCCCUCCCCCUUCACUGACAGGCACAGGAUGGAUGUGUUUGACAUGGCUCGUUUGGGCAUGCCUGUGCGAGGCCCCUCCUCCCGCGGCACUGAGCCAAUCAGCUCAGAGGGGGCCAAUGACGUCAUGUACAGGGAUGCCUUUAUGCCUAGAACAUGGCAGUCUAGGAACAGAGAUGUUGAGGGUGGACGAGGAUCUGUGCUUCUGUCAGAAAGUGAAUUUAUUGAUCUGAAUGGAGUUGCUUUCCCAGUUCCUCCAGACAGUGAGAGGAAAUCUGUUAAGCUGUCUGCACGAGAGCUACGCAGACUAGCAAACCUUAAGUCUGCAGAGAGGAAGCCAGUGCAGCUGCAGUCUCUCAAUAUGAGGCAGCUCAGAGACACAAACACUCAUCAGGACGAAGAGACUACAAGCCUUUGGCCAUCACAGCAUCACAGCAGGAGGCUGCUCUGACGACGAUGAUGAAGCAAGUUGUGGUGAUGAGCAUUUUACCCUGCAGUCUCCUGGCAGGCCCAGCUCCAUUGAUACCACCACUGCCGAGUCCUGGACUCAAGCAGAAACAUCAGACACGCUCAGAAGGCUGAUGUCUGGCUCUAAACUUUAAGAUGGGCCAUAAUAUACAUGACCGCACAUGCUCAGAGUGUGUGAGCACUUUACUGCAAUGCAGUAUAUAUAGGAGAUUUUAUGUAGUCUUCAGAUCUCUUAAAUAAAAGACUGAUCAGCGGAAUCUCUUCGAGAUCAUCUGCUUUAACUGCUUCACAAAAUCUCUUUUGUGAACUGAUUUGUGGAUCCAUUAUAUCUUAACAAAAUAUAGAGGGAAUGAUACAUUUCUAAUCUUUCUGGGCUUUUUUGUGGUAUUUUUUUUCCAAGACACAAAUACUUUUUAGCAUUUUGACAGCUUUUUAUACUUUUUUUAAUACAUUUUAUCCUUUUUUUUUUACACCAGGAUUCACCAGAGUAAAUAACACAUAUUGAAAGCACUAUAAUCCUGAUUGCUUGGAGGCUUACGGCCUGUUCAAACCAAGGAUGAUAACUAUAACGAUAAAGUUCUAAAAAUCAUUCAGAAUUUCACAAUUUAAAUGGCAAAGUCCACAUAUCUACUGUAUGAAAGUGGCACUUUUCAGAAUGAUUUUUUUCCAGUUGAUAAAUGAUAAAAAAUAUUGACGACCAGUCAGAAUCCAUCUGACAUUAAAGAGCUUAAGCAUAUAAAGUGGCAAAUGACAUCAGCGCAUGUUUAUAAUUAAGGAGAAACUUAUUGUCCCUUGGUGUGAACACUAAUAUAGUUAUCCUUGGUAUGAAAGGCCCUUUAGAGUGAAUGACAUGCGUGAGAGAAGCAUGUUCAUUCUGCACUUGUUUAAACCAUUUCGAGACUGUCGACAAACCGUGGCUAACAAAGCACGGCAAGAUCAAUUCUGAUCCAUAAUCCAUCUGACUGCAGAUGGUUUUGACUCCUCUUCUUUAUGCAUUUCUGAUUUUAAGCAGUCAAUCUGCCUCUGCAUCUGUUAGGCUUGCAUCUGUGGUAGAGCAUUGCGUUAGCAGCGCAAAAGUUUGUGGGUUCAAUUCCCAGGGAACACGUUAGGUAAAAAAAUGUUAGCCUGAAUGCACUGUAAGUUGCUUUGGAUAAAAGCACCUGCUAAAUGCAUAAAUGUAGAAAGCCCUUCUGUAAAAGAGCAUCCUUCUCCUGCAAUACAAUACAACACAAACAGCUAGUGGUCAAAUUGUAAAAAUAAUUCACGGGGGAUGGUGUGGUCAAUUUCUUUUUCUUUUUUUUCUGUUGUACACUACUAUUAGUAUUGCUGAGAAGAACUGCCAGGCAGAAGAUCCGCAUGUCAUGUUUCUCAUUCAUAUAUAUAUAUUUGUCUUUACUACAAAAGGACACUAUGAGAGCAACAGGGUUUUAAUACAAUACCUCUCUCUUGCAAGCAAUGAAGGUAUAUUUUGUUGCAGUGGAGGCAUUUGCUAUGUAACACAGCACUGCUGAUGCCUUUCUCCUCACCUUCUUUACACAACUAAGUCCCUCUGUGUCCAGCAGCACAAGAGUAUGUCCUUCUUUACAGGGGUGAGGAACACACCAUGUUCAGAUGCCUUUGGUCUUUGAUUCAGUGGUGCUGCAGAGAGCAAAGCCUGAGACAGUCACAAUGACAUAUAAAUAUCCAAGAUGACAAAUGCAUGUGAGAUUUAAAUGCAACGAUAUCGCUGUAAAUGAAGUGUCCCCAACUAAGCAAGCCAGAGGAACCAAAACUCCAUCAGUGACAGAAUGGAGAAAAAACCUUGGGAGAAACCAGGCUCAGUCGGGGGGUCAGUUCUCCUCUGACCAGACGAAACCAGCAGUUCAAUUCCAGGCUGCAGCAAAGUCAGAUUGUGCAGAAGAAUCAUCUGUUUCCUGUGGACUUGUCCCGGUGGUCGUCUGAGACAAGGUCUUUACAGGGGAUCUGUAUCUGCGGCUCUAGUCCUGGUCUCCGCUGUCUUUCAGGGCUGUAGAGGUCCUUUCUAGGUGCUGAUCCACCACCUAGGUUCCUAACUGAUGACGAAGAAUUGACAGAGCAGCCAUCAAGUCUUAGACAGUGUUCUAGGUCAUUACAUGCAGAGUUUUUAGGUCCUAUAAUUAACACCUCUGAUUUUUCAGAAUUUAGCAGUAAGAAAUUACUCGUCAUCCAGUUUUUUAUAUCGACUAUGCAUUCCGUUAGUUUUUCAAAUUGGUAUGUUUCGCCAGGCCGUGAAGAAAUAUAGAGCUGAGUAUCAUCAGCAUAACAGUGAAAGCUAACACCGUGUUUCCUGAUGAUAUCUCCCAAGGGUAACAUGUAAAGCGUGAAGAGUAACGGCCCUAGUACUGAGCCUUGCGGUACGCCAUACUGCACUUGUGAACGAUAUGAUACCUCUUCAUUCAUUGCUACGAAUUGAUGGCGGUCACAUACAGAUGGCAGACAUCCAAAAUGGGUAAUGCCGCUGCGUGUACCACCGCCGCAGGGCCGCGGCGUUAACUGCAAAUCAGUCGCGUGUUAAAAUCAUUCACGAAACUACUGCCAGGUGGCGCAAAGGGACGGAUUGCGAACUGAAUGUAAUUGUAAAAGGAGAGCAGUCUCAGUACUAUGAUACGGUCUAAAUCCUGACUGGAAAUCCUCACAGAUGCCAUUUUUCUCUAAAAAGGAAUAUAAUUGUGAGGAUACUACCUUUUCUAGUAUCUUUGAAAGAAAAGGGAGAUUCGAGAUCGGUCUGUAAUUAACUAGUUCUUUGGGGUCAAGUUGUGGUUUUUUGAUGAGAGGCUUUGAAGGAUUUUGGGACAUACCCUAAUAACAAUGAUUAAUUAAUAAUAGUCAGAAGAGGAUUCCAGAAAGCAGGGUUAACUUACCGUGAACAAAACCCUGAACUCUCGGUUGAUUAACCCCAAACAUUGCUUAAUCGAGGUAUGUGGUUCCAAAAAUGUGUCUGGGAGUAAGUUCAUUCAACUCAGAGUAUGUUCCUGGUUAAGACUCAAGACAUUCUCAACAGAGCGACGAAUCGACGAGUCACUAUAGAAACGGACGGAGUAAAAAUAGCUAAAAUAAUUACGAACUUUGAGGUAAACAUUUGCAAUUCCUUAUGUUCUUCUCCAAGGUAAAGAAGUGUGCUUUUUUUAUUGCAAUAUUUAUU
rnacentral:lncRNA from 1 species